CCUACGGGUGGCAGCAGUGAGGAAUAUUGGUCAAUGGCCGGAAGGCUGAACCAGCCAUGCCGCGUGAAGGUCAGUGCCCUAUGGGCGUUAAACUUCUUUUGUGUGGGAGCAAUAAUGGUCACGUGUGGCCAGACGAGAGUACCGUACGAAUAAGCAUCGGCUAACUCCGUGCCAGCAGCCGCGGUAAUACGGGGGAUGCAAGCGUUAUCCGGAUUUAUUGGGUUUAAAGGGUGCGUAGGCUGUGAGGUAAGUCAGCGGUGAAAUGCCCCCGCUCAACGGGGUGAAGUGCCAUUGAUACUGGCUGGCUGGAAUGCGGAUGCCGUGGGAGGAAUGUGUGGUGUAGCGGUGAAAUGCAUAGAUAUCACACAGAACACCGAUUGCGAAGGCAUCUCACGAAUCCGCGAUUGACGCUGAUGCACGAAAGCGUGGGUAUCAAACAGGAUUAGAUACCCUGGUAGUC
rnacentral:rRNA from 1 species